rnacentral:rRNA from 1 species
AGAGUUUGAUCCUGGCUCAGGAUGAACGCUGGCGGCAUGCCUAAUACAUGCAAGUCGAACGAGAGGAAGGAAAGCUUGCUUUUCUGAAUCUAGUGGCGAACGGGUGAGUAACACGUAGGUAACCUGCCCAUGUGCCCGGGAUAACUUCUGGAAACGGAUGCUAAAACCGGAUAGGUAGCAGACAAGCAUUUGACUGCUAUUAAAGUGGCCUUGGCCAUGAACAUGGAUGGACCUGCGGUGCAUUAGCUGGUUGGUGAGGUAACGGCCCACCAAGGCGACGAUGCAUAGCCGGCCUGAGAGGGCGGACGGCCACAUUGGGACUGAGACACGGCCCAAACUCCUACGGGAGGCAGCAGUAGGGAAUUUUCGUCAAUGGGGGGAACCCUGAACGAGCAAUGCCGCGUGAGUGAGGAAGGUCUUCGGAUCGUAAAGCUCUGUUGUAAGAGAAAAACGGCACUCAUAGGGAAUGAUGAGUGAGUGAUGGUAUCUUACCAGAAAGUCACGGCUAACUACGUGCCAGCAGCCGCGGUAAUACGUAGGUGGCGAGCGUUAUCCGGAAUGAUUGGGCGUAAAGGGUGCGUAGGUGGCAGAUCAAGUCUGGAGUAAAAGGUAUGGGCUCAACCCGUACUGGCUCUGGAAACUGAUCAGCUAGAGAACAGAAGAGGACGGCGGAACUCCAUGUGUAGCGGUAAAAUGCGUAGAUAUAUGGAAGAACACCGGUGGCGAAGGCGGCCGUCUGGUCUGGAUUCUGACACUGAAGCACGAAAGCGUGGGGAGCAAAUAGGAUUAGAUACCCUAGUAGUCCACGCCGUAAACGAUGAGAACUAGGUGUUGGGGGAAUAACUCAGUGCCGCAGUUAACGCAGUAAGUUCUCCGCCUGGGGAGUAUGCACGCAAGUGUGAAACUCAAAGGAAUUGACGGGGGCCCGCACAAGCGGUGGAGUAUGUG